rnacentral:rRNA from 1 species
AAGUAAAAGUCGUAACAAGGUUUCCGUAGGUGAACCUGCGGAAGGAUCAUUAACGAGUAACUGAACAGGUUGUAGCUGGCCUCUCGGGGCAUGUGCACACCUGGCUCAUCCACUCUUCAACCUCUGUGCACUUACUGUAGGUCGGUGGAAAGGUUGAAUCUUAGGAUUUUGCCUGGAAGCCUUUCCUAUGUUUUACUACAAACGCUUCAGUUUAAGAAUGUUAUCUCUGCGUAUAACGCAAUUUAUAUACAACUUUCAGCAACGGAUCUCUUGGCUCUCGCAUCGAUGAAGAACGCAGCGAAAUGCGAUAAGUAAUGUGAAUUGCAGAAUUCAGUGAAUCAUCGAAUCUUUGAACGCACCUUGCGCUCCCUGGUAUUCCGGGGAGCAUGCCUGUUUGAGUGUCAUGGUAUUCUCAACCUUCAUAGCUUUUUUGUUAUCGGAGGCUUGGACUUGGAGGUUGUGCUGGCUACUCGCAUAGUCAGCUCCUCUUAAAUGCAUUAGCGUGAGUGUAACGGAUCGCUUCGGUGUGAUAAUUAUCUGCGCCGUAGUCGUGAAGUGACAGAAGCUUGCGCUUCUAACCGUCCUUCAGUUGGACAGCUAGUUACUUAUAUGACAUCUGACCUCAAAUCAGGUAGGACUACCCGCUGAACUUAAGCAUAUC